UACGUAGGGUGCGAGCGUUAAUCGGAAUUACUGGGCGUAAAGCGUGUGUAGGCGGUUUGUUAAGUCUGUUGUGAAAGCCCCGGGCUCAACCUGGGAAUGGCAAUGGAUACUGGCAAGCUAGAGUGUGAUAGAGGAUGGUGGAAUUCCCGGUGUAGCGGUGAAAUGCGUAGAGAUCGGGAGGAACAUCAGUGGCGAAGGCGGCCAUCUGGAUCAACACUGACGCUGAGACACGAAAGCGUGGGGAGCAAACAGG
rnacentral:rRNA from 1 species